rnacentral:rRNA from 1 species
UAGGGAAUCUUCGGCAAUGGACGGAAGUCUGACCGAGCAACGCCGCGUGAGUGAAGAAGGUUUUCGGAUCGUAAAGCUCUGUUGUAAGAGAAGAACGAGUGUGAGAGUGGAAAGUUCACACUGUGACGGUAUCUUACCAGAAAGGGACGGCUAACUACGUGCCAGCAGCCGCGGUAAUACGUAGGUCCCGAGCGUUGUCCGGAUUUAUUGGGCGUAAAGCGAGCGCAGGCGGUUAGAUAAGUCUGAAGUUAAAGGCUGUGGCUUAACCAUAGUAGGCUUUGGAAACUGUUUAACUUGAGUGCAAGAGGGGAGAGUGGAAUUCCAUGUGUAGCGGUGAAAUGCGUAGAUAUAUGGAGGAACCCCGGCGGCGAAAGCGGCUCUCUGGCUUGUAACUGACGCUGAGGCUCGAAAGCGUGGGGAGCAAACAGGAUUAGAUACCCUGGUAGUCCACGCUGUAAACGAUGAGUGCUAGGUGUUAGACCCUUUCCGGGGUUUAGUGCCGUAGCUAACGCAUUAAGCACUCCGCCUGGGGAGUACGACCGCAAGGUUG